GGGGCAGUGCAGGCUGAGCCUCAUCAGGGAACCUUUCGCCUUUAGCCACUACUACCUGUGUGGAGCCUGGGGUGCGGGGAGCCCUGGACCCCAGGAGGCCUGAAGGAGGAAGAUACCAGGACAUUGUGAUCACAAGAUGAUCCCCCAAUCAGAAAAAGGCAGGGCAGGAACUCAGCUCUUACCCAAAGGGACCAACCUGCAGCACAGGAAACAGUGCUGUCUUCACCCUGCUGUGCAAUGGGCUCCAGGCUGCUCCCCUGGGCAAUGUUUUGUCUCCUGGGAGCAGGCCCAGUGGAGGCAGGAGUCACACAGACGCCAAGACACCUGAUCAAAGCAAGAGGGCAGCAAGUGUCGCUGAGAUGUACCCCUCACUCUGGACACUCCAGUGUGUCCUGGUACCAACAGGCCCCGGGUCAGGGCCUCCAGUUACUCUUCACAAUUUAUGAGUAUGUGGAGAACGCGAAAGGAAACUUCCCUGACAGAUUCUCAGCUCACCAGUUCCAGAACUAUGACUCCGAGCUGAACGUGAGCGCCUUGGACCUGGGGGACUCGGCUGUGUACCUCUGUGCCAGCAGCUUGGCACAGCCCUGCAGAGCCACCAGUGUUCUGUGCACAAACCACCUGCUUGAGCUCUGA